UAGCUACAGGCUUAACACAUGCAAGUCGAGGGGAAACGACAUCGAAAGCUUGCUUUUGAUGGGCGUCGACCGGCGCACGGGUGAGUAACGCGUAUCCAACCUGCCCAUCACUUGGGGAUAACCUUGCGAAAGUAAGACUAAUACCCAAUGACGUCUCUAGAAGACAUCUGAAAGGGAUUAAAGAUUUAUCGGUGAUGGAUGGGGAUGCGUCUGAUUAGCUUGUUGGCGGGGUAACGGCCCCCCAAGGCGACCGAUCAGUAGGGGUUCUGAGAGGAAGGUCCCCCACAUUGGAACUGAGACACGGUCCAAACUCCUACGGGAGGCAGCAGUGAGGAAUAUUGGUCAAUGGGCGACAGCCUGAACCAGCCAAGUAGCGUGCAGGGAUGACGGCCCUAUGGGUUGUAAACUGCUUUUAUAAGGGAAUAAAGUGAGUCUCGUGAGACUUUUUGCAUGUACCUUAUGAAUAAGGACCGGCUAAUUCCGUGCCAGCAGCCGCGGUAAUACGGAAGGUCCGGGCGUUAUCCGGAUUUAUUGGGUUUAAAGGGAGCGUAGGCCGGAGAUUAAGCGUGUUGUGAAAUGUAGACGCUCAACGUCUGCACUGCAGCGCGAACUGGUUUCCUUGAGUACGCACAAAGUGGGCGGAAUUCGUGGUGUAGCGGUGAAAUGCUUAGAUAUCACGAAGAACUCCGAUUGCGAAGGCAGCUCACUGGAGCGCAACUGACGCUGAAGCUCGAAAGUGCGGGUAUCGAACAGGAUUAGAUACCCUGGUAGUCCGCACGGUAAACGAUGGAUGCCCGCUGUUGGUCUGAAUAGGUCAGCGGCCAAGCGAAAGCAUUAAGCAUCCCACCUGGGGAGUACGCCGGCAACGGUGAAACUCAAAGGAAUUGACGGGGGCCCGCACAAGCGGAGGAACAUGUGGUUUAAUUCGAUGAUACGCGAGGAACCUUACCCGGGCUUGAAUUGCAGAGGAAGGAUUUGGAGACAAUGACGCCCUUCGGGGCCUCUGUGAAGGUGCUGCAUGGUUGUCGUCAGCUCGUGCCGUGAGGUGUCGGCUUAAGUGCCAUAACGAGCGCAACCCCUCUCCUUAGUUGCCAUCAGGUCAAGCUGGGCACUCUGGGGACACUGCCACCGUAAGGUG
rnacentral:rRNA from 1 species